rnacentral:rRNA from 1 species
CAGAGACUGCAAGCGUUAUUCGGAUUCACUGGGCGUAAAGGGUGCGCAGGCGGUUGGGUGUGUCAGAUGUGAAAUCCCGAGGCUCAACCUCGGAACUGCGUCUGAAACUACCCGACUAGAGUACUGGAGAGGGUAACGGAAUUCACGGUGUAGCAGUGAAAUGCGUAGAUAUCGUGAGGAACACCAGAGGCGAAGGCGGUUACCUGGACAGUUACUGACGCUCAGGCACGAAAGCAUGGGGAGCAAAAGGGAUUAGAUACCCCUGUAGUCCAUGCCCUAAACGGUGCACACUAGGUCUUAGCGGAUUCGACCCCAGUAGGGCCCAAGCUAACGCGUUAAGUGUGCCGCCUGAGGACUACGGUCGCAAGACUA